CCUACUGUAGGCAGCAGUGGGGGAUAUUGCACAAUUGAGGGAACUCUGAUGCAGCGACGCCGCGUGAGGGAAGAAGGUUUUCGGAUUGUAAACCUCUGUCUUCGGUGACGAAACGAGACGGUAGCCGCGGAGGAAGCCACGGCUAACUACGUUCCAGCAGCCACGGUAAGACGUAGGUGGCACGCGUUUUCCGGAAUUACUGUGUGUAAAGGGAGCGUAGGCAGGAAAGCAAGUUGAAUGUUUAAGGUACGGGCUCAAACUGUACAAGCGUUUAAAACUGUUUUUCUUGAGUGGAGUAGAGGGAAGCGGAAGUCCUAGUGUAGCGGUGAAAUGAGGAAAGAGUAGGAGGAACACCAGUGGCGAAGGCGGCUUACUGGGCUUUAACGGACGCUGAGGCUCGAAAGCGUGGGUAGCAAACAGGAGUAGAUAACCGGGUAGUC
rnacentral:rRNA from 1 species